rnacentral:lncRNA from 1 species
UUUCUCUUUAUAAUUAUUGCCCUGUUUGAAAAAUCAGCCCGCAUCUAGGGUGGCAAACACUGUGUAGAGGCCUUCCUUCUUCCUUCUCGGGAGCAGCAGUGGAUGGAACCACUGUAACCUGGCCUCCCGCCAUGAGAGGAGGGAAUCCAGGUGGCCAUGUUCAAAUGUGUCUGUGUGCAGCAAGGCUUCUGAAAUGACAGGAGAGCCCGGCGGCUUCCAAAGCAGCUGUGACUCUGGAUUGCGCCCACCAUCCCUGCUUCUCACCACAAGAGGAGUGAAUCUCUGCUGCCUUAGGAGGCAUGGAGCCUGGGACUUUAAUUCCUUUUUUAAUUUUUCAUUUUAUUUUUAAAACGCUUGAGUGGUGGAUGAUGAUUUCUUGACAAAAGAGAGAUUUCCCCCCUUUUAAAAUUGUUUUAACUCAGGCUCUUGUGUAAACUCAUGGGCUGGGAAUAAGACCAGAAUACC